AUUGAACGCUGGCGGCAUGGCUAAAACAUGCAAGUCGAACGAACCCGCAAGGGUGAGUGGCGAAAGGGUUAGUAAUGCGAUCGAACGUGCCCUGAGGUGGGGGAUAGCGUUGGGAAACUGACGGUAAUACCCCAUGAUCUCGCAAGAGCAAAGGUUUACCGCCUUGGGAUUGGCGAUUGUCCUAUCAGGUAGUUGGCGGGGUAAAAGCCCCCCCAGCCUUAGACGGGUAGCGGGUGUGAGAGCCCGGCCCGCAACAUCGGGACUGAGACACUGCCCGGACUCCUACGGGAGGCUGCAGUCGAGAAUUUUUGGCAAUGGGCGCAAGCCUGACCGAGGGACGCCGCGUGGAGGACGAAGGCCUUCGGGUUGUAAACUCCUGUCGAGGGGGAGGAAGGCGCAAGCUUGACCGAUCCGUGGAGGAAGCACGGGCUAAGUUCGUG
rnacentral:rRNA from 1 species